ensembl:lncRNA
CCACUUAAAUAAAGGCAAGUUCUGUAAGAUUACAUUGCUAUUUGUAAAGUUAUGCCUUCGCAGCAUUUCCAAUGCUGUUGGACUUCACGUCCCCAACCUAGCUUGGUGAGGGUUGUAACUAUUUCCAAGUACUUGUACAUUGGAAGUUUGAAUGUGUAACAAUAUUUAAUGUAAUUAGAGAGUUCCUCCUGUUGAAGGGUUUAAGAAACUGGCCCAUUAUUAUGGUCAUGUGACUUUUCUGUACUGUUUAAACUUCAUUGUAAUAAAAUGAGACAAAAAUUUAUGCCUUUUUAUUCAUAAACCCAGCUGUGGACACUGCCUGAAAGGUUUGUACAGAUGCAUGCCACAGUAGAUGUCCACAUAAUAAAACUCAGUUACCAAUACGUUUUGAUACAUGAUUGAAUUCUUUAAGCUGUAGAUGUUUUUUUCGCUGCAUGUCUUAGUAUAUAAGAACUAUACAUAAAGUUCUUGUUAGUGUGUUUGUUGACAGAAAACUCAUAGACACAUGAAUUCAUUACGGGUACGAAGACUGUGUGUCACUGUUGUACAUCUUUUGGUUUCACAUUAUUGCAGAAGUUCACAGUGUAAACUUCACAUUUUCUAAUAUUGUUUAGACCCUAGUGCCAGACCUAUUCAUAUUCUUUUGAUUAAUUUUAAGACAUCAGGUGCCAGUUGAAUAUUUUAUGAACCUCAGAAGCUUUCCAGGUGCGAGCUUCUAGAAGCUUAGGUGCAUGUUUUCGUGUUAAUGGUUUGAUAGAGGUUAACUUCUUUUGUGCACAGUAUCGGAAAGUUUUUAUUAUAUUCCUUGUAGGUUAUGUUAGUUGAGAUUAGAUAGGUAACCUCUGUUGCCUAACUAAGCCAGAUGGUUUGACUGGUAAUUAUGAUCCUUGGAAAUUUUGGAUGUUGCUGUAUUCUUAUAGAAAAUUUUACUUGUAAGGGUGACUACUGUUGGGGAUUUUUUAAAAAUUAUUUAUUUUAUAUAUAUGAGUACAAUGUAGCUGCCUUCACACACACCAGAUGCCAGGGGUUCCCAUUACAGAUGGUUGUGAGCCACCAUGUGGUUGCUGGGAAUUGAACUCAGGACCUCUUGAAGAUGGCCAUCUCGAGCCGCACUGUUGGGGAUUUUGUGUUGGAUGUCUUACCAUAGUAGCUCUAACAGCUUUUGUUGACAUCUUAUUUUGGGGGGGGGGGGUUGGGUAGAUUUAUGAUCAGUUAUUUUUAAGUAUCUUGUAAUCUGUACAAAGUAAUUAUCCAUAAACGAAUAUAGGUUGGGCUUGAUUUAAUAAUUCUGAGGAAAUACUAGCCGUCUUUAAUAAUUUCUAUGAAGUGUAUUAGAUAAAAGUUUGUGACAACAAAAGUUAUUCUAAUUUUGUAGGAAUUUUAACUUGAAAAUUUUUGGAUUGUUACAGAGGAAGUGAACAAGUAAAAAUUCUGACAAAUGACAAUUUGAAGCUGAAUGCCGUUGUUAGCUUGGUAUUCGCUGCACUGACUCUGUGCCUCCUCUGCAGUAGUUACAGUGAGCCCUGCCAUAGGACAGGCUGAGGCUGAGUCUCAGUGUUGCCCUGUUCAGUCUGAGCAGCAGAAUUUCAGCAUUUGCUACUUACUGGUAGAGAAGAAAAACCCCACAGCCCUGCCAGUACAGGUUAGUUUAAUCUGUAAGUACCUGAUGUUCCUUUUUUUUCCCCUCCCACCCCACAAACAUAACCAUUUAAGGCACAUAAGGAAGGAAGCUGCUGUGCAGUUACUUACUGUGAGUAUAGUAACAUUGGGUGCUCUCAGACACUCAGUUCUUGGGCCAGAUGGAUUUCUAGGUUUGGGAACCUCAGCUGUAAUAAAGGUGUGAUGCAGCUCCUUGAUUAUUGGUUGUUCUUGACCUAUGUAGAUACCUCCUAUAUAAUAGAGGAAAGAAAUACUUGGAUUGGCUCAGUCCAUGGUGGUAAUAGUUUGUAUGUCUCUGUAAGCUAUAAAUUACAUCACUGGCUUGGAAGCUCACCGCACAUUGAGAACCCUGCACAGUGGUGCACAUCUUUAAUCCCAGAACUCUGCAGGCAGAGGUAGACAUAGUGUAAAUUUAAGGCCAGGCUAGGCUGUGUAAUGAUUCCCUGUCUUUAACAAAAGAAAGGUAAUUCUUGGAAGACGAGGAAGUCAUGCACAUCUUGCUUGAUAAAGCCAAUAAAAAUAAGUCAGAUACUGAUUAGCCAGCCUUCGAUUGGAUCAUUAUUAUUUUAUUUGGGAAUAAUAAGAUUUGUUUAAAUUUUUAAUGAUCUACAUCUACUGACCAGUAGUAAAAUGUAUUCUGUGAGUUUCCCCCCACAUUGCUUUUUAAUUGUAAAAUUGCCUGAGGGCUUAAGUUUUAUUGCCUUUCACAGUUUAUAAGAAUGGCGUAGAUACAGUGGAAAUGGUUUUCCUUAAAACCAUCUCUUUAAGAGCUGCCUUUCUGGUGAGUACUGCUUUAUAAUUUUUGUAUCACACUUUUUUUUAAGCUAGCUGGGAGGUGACAGUGAUUGAAAAGUGCAGUCCGAAUUGUCAAAGCUUGGACCAGAACCUUAAGGUGAUGGUUACUACCUGAUUCUCUAUGUUCCCUGUUUAGAUUCUCUUUUUUCCCCCUCAUUUCCCUAAAGGAUUGUGUGCAUAAAAACAUUGAACGCAGAUCAUUUGCUUUGGUGAGGGGAAAAAUUGUUUUGUUUUGGUUUUUUUUUUUUUUUUUAAUGUUUAAGAAAAUGUAGGGACAGGAGGCAUGGCUCACUAGUUAAGACCAUGUCAUACCCCAGGUGGUGGCAUCCACUCUGCAGGCAGAGACCAGUCAUCGCUGAGUUUCAGGACAACCAGGGCUGUAUAGAGGAGUCUCCCCCAAAGUGAAGGAAUGUGUCCUGCGUUUGUUGGAAUCAGUUGAGGUUCCCAGUGUGUGUCCUGGCUCACAACCACCGCUCCUUCAGGAUCUGACACCUUGAACUUUUGUGCUCAUAUACUUAAAACACAGCAUACAAUUAAGAAUACAUAUGUUUUAAAGAUCAAAGAUUACCUUUUUUGCCCCAGUGCUCAUUUCUCACUGCUAGGUUAAGGAAAUAAUAGAUUUAGUACUCUCUUUCUCGAGUACUUGAACUGUAUAAAUCAUUCCAACCCUGCAUGGAAAAACUUGCAUUACAAAUGCAAGAUUUUUUAGCAUUUGUUUACCUGGGAAGAUUAACUUACAAAAAUAUUUUACUGUCUUGUUUAGUGACGAGUUUGUAACAUAAGGAUUUUCCCUGUAGUUUUUAAGCUAGAUUUUUAGAUAAUGCAGGCAUAUUUGUAUAUACAUUGUAUUUCUUCUAUGAUUUUUGUGAAUAAAUCUACCUUUUUCCUCCUUAGUAUGACAAUAUUUGUUUUCUAAAAUCUGAAUGUGUAAUCUGAGAGUGUGUGGUAAUGAAUUCUAGGUGAGCUCUCAACAAAGUUUUGAGCCUAAAUUUGUGUCUUUAGAUUAUAGUGAAAUAAAUUUCUAAGGAACUCUGUCCUUUCCUAGCAUGGAUAAACAGACAGUGACAGUUGGUAAGUAUGUAACUUUAAAUGCAUGUAGUAGUGGUAAAGUUGAGCUACCAAACUAUUCCAAGACAGUUAGAAGUGAGUCCUUCUAGGACUUUAUAUGUAUAUCUGACAUUUUACUCCAAAUCUAUUACUCAUGAUUAAACUGAAAUGCAACCUUACCUUGUCUGAUUUGUUUUUUGUUGUUCAUUUUGUUUUUAGAAGAAUUUUGUAUGGUAGUUUAAAAAUCUAAUUUUAUAUUUAAAACCUUUCCUUGGUGUAUCAGUACGUGGCUCUUCUGACAACCAAAUAUUGAUCCGAAGAUUUACUUCAAACACUUUGGUUUCCAUUUAUAACUAAGCAAAAUAUAGUGGCAAAAGAGAGGACUACUCUAAUUUUAGUCUAUAAUAGGAAAUCAGUGCAGAAUUACGCUUUAUUUUUAUUUUAUGUGUCUGUGGUGCACCCACAUGCAGUUUUCUCCUGAGGCCAGAAGAUUGUCUGAUUGUUAGAGUGGAGUAGAGCUUCAGACACUGGUAACCCACCCCUGAGCAGUACCCAUUCAUCCUUGGCCAGUUCGGGGUCAGUGUUGGAAUUUGGUGGUGGGAAGAAGGCUUUCUUUAUUUUUUAUGAUUGCGGCCCCCCAAUUGUGAGAAUUAUUUCAGGGGGUAGAUCGGAGGACAACUUCUUUACAGUUUGUGUUCGUAUGUGGUUUCCUAGGGAGACAUCUCAACCACCCUCUGGUGUUCUGUUGGUAACAGAAGUAUGACAGGUUAAAAUGAAAAGCAUUUUAAUUUUAUUUCUGAGACAAAGUAUUUAUUUACAGCAUUGUUUUCUGAAAAGUUUAAAGAAGGUGGGUAUGCAUGUCUUUAAUUUAGUCUCCAGGUUUACCUCCUAACAAGUGUCAGUUGGAUUUGGAGGAAAUGAAGAGCCAAUCUGUGGGGAUGUGAUUGUAUGGAGGGUCUGAGUAUAGCAGCAGGAGGAAGAAUAAACUUGCAGCCUGUGUGCUAUUAAAUGGUUACAGGAGCAGAGAUCGUGACGAAUGUUACUCUAUAACUAAUGUCUGCUAAAGAUAUUAUAUGCUAGCCUUUAAUUCAUUAACAUUGGAACCUUGUGAUACAUGAAUUUUGGUCGAGUUUAUUUAAAAAUAAAAAAUUUCCCACACAAAUAAUAGUGUAUGUGAUA